rnacentral:tRNA from 1 species
ACCUGGGUGGCUCAGUCGGUUGAGCGUCUGACUUCAGCUCAGGUCACGAUCUCGCGGUCCGUGAGUUCGAGCCCCACAUCGGGCU